CAGUACCCUCAAGCAAAGUGAUCUUUAGUUUGAUACCCCGAAACCAGGUGAGCUACCCCGAGACAGCCUAAAUAACUUAGGGCUAACCCGUCUCUGUGGCAAAAGAGUGGGAAGAGCUCCGGGUAGAAGUGACAGACCUACCGAACCUGGUGAUAGCUGGUUGCCUAAGAAAUGAAUAGAAGUUCAGCCUCGCACGCCCUUAUUCAAAAAGUACAUUACCAAGAAAUUAUGGAAAUAUACGAGAGUUAGUUGAAGGGGGUACAGCCCCUUUAACAAAGGAUACAACCUUUUCAGGUGGAUAAAGAUCAUAAUAAAUAAAAUAUACUGUUCUAGUGG
rnacentral:rRNA from 1 species